rnacentral:misc_RNA from 1 species
GCAAACUUGGUCAUUUAGAGGAAGUAAAAGUCGUAACAAGGUCUCCGUUGGUGAACCAGCGGAGGGAUCAUUACCGAGUUAUACGAAACUCCCAAACCCACUGUGAACCUUACCUCUCGUUGCUUCGGCGGGACGGCCCCGGGCCCCCGGCCCGGAACCAGGCGCCCGCCGGAGGCCCCCAAACCUCCUGUUUCCGCCGAUGGGAAUCCUUCUGAGUGGCCCCCAGGGGCGAAAAGAAAAUCAAUCAAAACUUUCAACAACGGAUCUCUUGGCUCUGGCAUCGAUGAAGAACGCAGC